CUGCCAUGACGCCAGCUGCAGUGGGGGAGGCAUGGCCAGGACUAGUACUCCACAGAGCCAGUGUGAGCCAGGACAGG
rnacentral:pre_miRNA from 1 species